rnacentral:rRNA from 1 species
CCUACGGGAGGCAGCAGUGAGGAAUAUUGGUCAAUGGACGCAAGUCUGAACCAGCCAUGCCGCGUGCAGGAAGAAGGCUCUAUGAGUUGUAAACUGCUUUUGUACGAGGGUAAACGCAGAUACGCGUAUCUGUCUGAAAGUAUCGUACGAAUAAGGAACGGCAAACCGCGAGCCAGCAGCCGAGGUAAUAUGGAGGAUUGAAGCGUUAUCCGGAUUUGUUGGGUUAAGAGGGUGCGUAGGGGGUCAGAUAAGUUAGGGGUAAAAUCCCGACGCACCACUUGGGAAUUGCCUCUGAUAGUGUUCGGCGAGAGUAGUUGCGGUAGGCGGAAUGUAUGGUGUAGCGGUGAAAUGCUUAGAGAUCAUACAGAACACCGAUUGCGAAGGCAGCUUACCAAGCUACUUCUGACGUUGAGGCACGAAAGCGUGGGGAGCAAACAGGAUUAGAUACCCCGGUAGUC